CCCUUAGAUGUUCUGGGCCGCACGCGCGCUACAAUGGUCUUCGCAAACGGAUGCAUUCUCGAAGGAGAAUGCCAAUCUUGGAAUCUAUGCCUUGGUCGGGACAGUUGCUUGCAAUUUUUCGACUCGAACCAGGAAUUCCUUGUAAUCGUGAUUCAUCACACCACGAUGAAUACGUCCCUGCCCUUUGUACACACCGCCCGUCGCUCCUACCGAUCGAAGAGUUAGGUGAAUUGUUUUGAUCGAUAAGAUUUGACUAUGGUCAACUCUCGUUGUGAAAUUCUGUGAAUCUGACUGUUUAGAGGAAGGAAAAGUCGUAACA
rnacentral:rRNA from 1 species